GGCUCAGGACGAACGCUGGCGGCGUGCCUAACACAUGCAAGUCGAACGGGGUAAGGAGGAAGUUUACUUUCACCUUACUUAGUGGCGAACGGGUGAGUAACGCGUGAGAAACCUGCCUCUCAGUGGGGGACAACAGUUGGAAACGACUGCUAAUACCGCAUAACACUUUAGUACCGCAUGGUACAGAAGUCAAAGCUUAAUGUGCUGAGAGAUGGUCUCGCGUCUGAUUAGCUAGAUGGCGGGGUAACGGCCCACCAUGGCGACGAUCAGUAGCCGGUCUGAGAGGAUGAACGGCCACAUUGGGACUGAGAUACGGCCCAGACUCCUACGGGAGGCAGCAGUGGGGAAUAUUGGGCAAUGGGGGAAACCCUGACCCAGCAACGCCGCGUGAAGGAAGAAGGCCUUCGGGUUGUAAACUUCUUUUACCAGGGACGAAGAACGUGACGGUACCUGGAGAAAAAGCAACGGCUAACUACGUGCCAGCAGCCGCGGUAAUACGUAGGUUGCAAGCGUUGUCCGGAUUUACUGGGUGUAAAGGGCGUGUAGGCGGAGCUGCAAGUCAGAUGUGAAAUCCCGGGGCUCAACCCCGGAACUGCAUUUGAAACUGUAGCCCUUGAGUAUCGGAGAGGCAAGCGGAAUUCCCGGUGUAGCGGGUGGGAAUGCGUAGAUAUCGGGAGGAACACCAGUGGCGAAGGCGGCCUACUGGGCACCUAACUGACGCUGAGGCUCGAAAGCAUGGGUAGCAAACAGGAUUAGAUACCCUGGUAGUCCAUGCCGUAAACGAUGAUUACUAGGUGUAGGGUGUUACACACAUUCUGUGCCGCAGUUAACACAAUAAGUAAUCCACCUGGGGAGUACGACCGCAAGGUUGAAACUCAAAGGAAUUGACGGGGCCCCGCACAAGCAGUGGAGUAUGUGGUUUAAUUCGACGCAACGCGAAGAACCUUACCAGGUCUUGACAUCCGACGACCGCCUAAGAGAUUAGGAUUUCCCUUCGGGGACGUCGAGACAGGUGGUGCAUGGUUGUCGUCAGCUCGUGUCGUGAGAUGUUGGGUUAAGUCCCGCAACGAGCGCAACCCUUAUCGUCAGUUACUACGCAAGAGGACUCUGGCGAGACUGCCGUUGACAAAACGGAGGAAGGUGGGGAUGACGUCAAAUCAUCAUGCCCUUUAUGACCUGGGCUACACACGUACUACAAUGGCGCUUAACAAAGAGCAGCGAAAUCGCGAGGUGGAGCGAAUCUCAAAAACAGCGUCUCAGUUCGGACUGCAGGCUGCAACUCGCCUGCACGAAGCCGGAAUAGCUAGUAAUCGCAGAUCAGCAUGCUGCGGUGAAUACG
rnacentral:rRNA from 1 species